ACACGUAGGGGGCGAGCGUUGUCCGGAGUAACUGGGCGUAAAGGGCGUGUAGGCGGGUAUAAAAGUGUAGUGUAAAAGCCUCGGGUAACCCCGGGAGAUGCACUACAAACUAUGUACCUUGAGGAAAGGAUAGGGAAGCGGAAUUCCCGGUGUAGCGGUGAAAUGCGUAGAUAUCGGGAGGAAUACCGGUGGCGAAGGCGGCUUCCUGGACUUAUCCUGACGCUGAGGCGCGAAAGCGUGGGUAGCAAACAGGAUUAGAUACCCUGGUAGUCCACGCUGUAAACUAUGGAUACUAGGUGUGGGAGGUUAUACCUUCCGUGCCGCAGUUAACGCAAUAAGUAUCCCGCCUGGGGAGUACGGCCGCAAGGUUAAA
rnacentral:rRNA from 1 species